GGGCGAUUAGCUCAGCUGGAUAGAGCACCAGCCUCCGAAGCUGGGGGUCAUGCGUUCGAAUCGCAUAUCGCCCA
rnacentral:tRNA from 1 species